rnacentral:lncRNA from 1 species
AUGGAAUGUGACAUCGUGAAAGAUUCUGCCUUUGCACACAUGCCAUGGGCAGAAGAGGCAGUGGGGGCCAUCCGGGCCUUGACAACACAGUUUCCAGGUGAAACCUUUCUACGUGGUGCUCAAAGAACCAGGACGUAUGUCUUCAGCUGAUGAACUCUUGCCCUUGAGCCUCACAGCAUCACGGGACCACUGAGGCCUCAGCUGUGACCAGAGCCAAGCGUGGAGUCACGUUCCCGCAUGUCAUAGCCAGCUUGUGGGAAAGGAGACAUUGGG